rnacentral:rRNA from 1 species
AACGAACGCUGGCGGCGUGCCUAACACAUGCAAGUCGAGCGCGAAAGAGCAAUCUGAGUAGAGCGGCGCACGGGUGCGUAACACGUGGGUAAUCUGCCUCAAGGUCUGGGAUAACCUUCCGAAAGGUUGGCUAAUACCAGUUAAGCUCACGGUGACUUCGGUCGCUGAGAGAAAAGGGGCCCGAAAGGGUCUCGCCAUGAGAUGAGCCCGCGGCCCAUCAGCUAGUGGGCGGGGUAACGGCCCACCAAGGCUACGACGGGUAGCUGGUCUGAGAGGACGAUCAGCCACACUGGAACUGAGACACGGUCCAGACUCCUACGGGAGGCAGCAGUGGGGAAUUUUGCACAAUGGGCGAAAGCCUGAUGCAGCAACGCCGCGUGUGUGAUGAAGGUCUUCGGAUCGUAAAGCACUUUCG